CUCCGGGUCUUCCGGAGCUGAGGACUCGGGAAACCAUGCGGUUGAGGCGAGCCUUGGGCGGCUUCACAGGCGCUGACAUCCGAGGAGACUACUCCUGG
ensembl:misc_RNA